rnacentral:rRNA from 1 species
UGGAGAGUUUGAUCCUGGCUCAGGAUGAACGCUGGCGGCGUGCCUAAUACAUGCAAGUCGAGCGAACGGACGAGAAGCUUGCUUCUCUGAUGUUAGCGGCGGACGGGUGAGUAACACGUGGAUAACCUACCUAUAAGACUGGGAUAACUUCGGGAAACCGGAGCUAAUACCGGAUAAUAUUUUGAACCGCAUGGUUCAAAAGUGAAAGACGGUCUUGCUGUCACUUAUAGAUGGAUCCGCGCUGCAUUAGCUAGUUGGUAAGGUAACGGCUUACCAAGGCAACGAUGCAUAGCCGACCUGAGAGGGUGAUCGGCCACACUGGAACUGAGACACGGUCCAGACUCCUACGGGAGGCAGCAGUAGGGAAUCUUCCGCAAUGGGCGAAAGCCUGACGGAGCAACGCCGCGUGAGUGAUGAAGGUCUUCGGAUCGUAAAACUCUGUUAUUAGGGAAGAACAUAUGUGUAAGUAACUGUGCACAUCUUGACGGUACCUAAUCAGAAAGCCACGGCUAACUACGUGCCAGCAGCCGCGGUAAUACGUAGGUGGCAAGCGUUAUCCGGAAUUAUUGGGCGUAAAGCGCGCGUAGGCGGUUUUUUAAGUCUGAUGUGAAAGCCCACGGCUCAACCGUGGAGGGUCAUUGGAAACUGGAAAACUUGAGUGCAGAAGAGGAAAGUGGAAUUCCAUGUGUAGCGGUGAAAUGCGCAGAGAUAUGGAGGAACACCAGUGGCGAAGGCGACUUUC